rnacentral:rRNA from 1 species
GACGAACGCUGGCGGUGUGCUUAACACAUGCAAGUCGAACGGUAAGGCCCUUUCGGGGGUACACGAGUGGCGAACGGGUGAGUAACACGUGAGUAACCUGCCCUCAUCUCUGGGAUAACAGUCGGAAACGGUUGCUAAUACUGGAUAUGAGCUUGCAAGGCAUCUUGUGGGUUGGAAAGAUUUUUUUUGGUUGGGGAUGGACUCGCGGCCUAUCAGCUUGUUGGUGAGGUAGUGGCUCACCAAGGCUUCGACGGGUAGCCGGCCUGAGAGGGCGACCGGCCAAAUUUGGACCGAGAUACGGGCCAAACCCCUACGGGGGGGAGCAGGGGGGAAUAUUGGACAAUGGACCGAAGGCCGGUGCAGCAACGCCGCGGGCGGGAUUACGGCCUUCGGGGUGUAAACCGCUUUCAAUUGUGACGAAGCUUUUUUGUGACGGUAGCAGUAGAAGAAGCACCGGCUAACUACGUG